UACGUAGGGGGCUAGCGUUGUCCGGAAUCAUUGGGCGUAAAGCGCGUGUAGGCGGUUCGGUAAGUCCGCUGUGAAAGUCGGGGGCUCAACCCUCGAAUGCCGGUGGAUACUGUCGGACUAGAGUACGGAAGAGGCGAGUGGAAUUCCUGGUGUAGCGGUGAAAUGCGCAGAUAUCAGGAGGAACACCAAUUGCGAAGGCAGCUCGCUGGGACGGUACUGACGCUAAGGCGCGAAAGCGUGGGGAGCGAACAGG
rnacentral:rRNA from 1 species